rnacentral:rRNA from 1 species
GCGAAAAGCAUUUGUCCAAGGGACUGUUUUUCAUAAUCAGGGAACGAAAAGUUUAUGGUGGAUCGAAGGCGAUCAGAAUACCGUUGUAGUCUUAACCAUAAACUAUGCCGACUAGGGAUCGGACGAUGUUAUUUUUUGACUCGUUCGGCACCUUACGAGAAAUCAAAGUGCUUGGGCUCCAGGGGGAGUAUGGUCGCAAGGCUGAAACUUAAAGAAAUUGACGGAAGGGCACCACCAGGGGUGGAGCCUGCGGCUUAAUUUGACUCAACACGGGGAAACUCACCAGGUCCAGACACAAUGAGGAUUGACAGAUUGAGAGCUCUUUCUUGAUUUUGUGGUGGUGGUGCAUGGCCGUUCUUAGUUGGUGGAGUGAUUUGUCCUGCUUAAUUGCGAUAACGAACGAGACCUUAACCUGCUAAAUAGCCCGUAUUGCUUUGGCAGUACGCUGGCUUCUUAGAGGGACUAUCGGCUCAAGCCGAUGGAAGUUUGAGGCAAUAACAGGUCUGUGAUGCCUUAGAUGUUUGGGCCGCACGCGCGUACACUGACUGAGCCAGCGAGUACUCCCUUGACCGGAAGGUCCGGGUAAUCUUGUUAAACUCAGUCGUGUCUGGGGA